rnacentral:rRNA from 1 species
AGAGUUUGAUCCUGGCUCAGGACGAACGCUGGCGGCGUGCUUAACACAUGCAAGUCGAACGGAAAGGCCCUGCUUGCAGGGUGCUCGAGUGGCGAACGGGUGAGUAACACGUGGGUGAUCUGCCCUGCACUUCGGGAUAAGCUUGGGAAACUGGGUCUAAUACCGGAUAGGACUACGCACUGCAUGGUGUGUGGUGGAAAGCUUUUGCGGUGUGGGAUGGGCCCGCGGCCUAUCAGCUUGUUGGUGGGGUGAUGGCCUACCAAGGCGACGACGGGUAGCCGGCCUGAGAGGGUGUCCGGCCACACUGGGACUGAGAUACGGCCCAGACUCCUACGGGAGGCAGCAGUGGGGAAUAUUGCACAAUGGGCGCAAGCCUGAUGCAGCGACGCCGCGUGGGGGAUGACGGCCUUCGGGUUGUAAA